AUGACCACUGCCCGAGCGCCAACCCCAGACAGGCAGAUGCUGGAGAUUUUACUCUUCAGUGUGGGGGUUAAAACUUACUAUCUAGUGGUGGUUUCAUGUCUGUCAUUGAGAAAUGCCUUUAUUAUGGCAAAAAUCCAGGUAUUUCCAACUCACCAGGAAGAAGACAAAAUAAGCAAAUGUAUCUUGGUAGAUGUUUACUCUUUGAAUGUCAAUAAGAAUUUCACUCUGAACGACAGCAGGUUUCCAUGGUCCUCAGAGAGGCAGCAGACAGCUGGGUCAGAAGCCGUGCUAACAAGUGAACCCAAGAUGUCAGCCCAGGUCUGUGGUUCGGGGACAACUCCUUACUCAUCUGAUGAAUGGGAUGAACGGUGUCAGAGGAGGAGUUAACCCCGCAGCCAAAUUCUAAUAAACAACGGGCUCAAGACCCUUGUCGACAAGCUCAGCCCAGACUCCAAAGUUUCACUGGAAGCGUCUCCCACAGAAAUGGCCUUCUCCGUGUUGAAUACGACCCUACUGCUACAGCUUGGUGCUGUCCAAGAUCCGGGGAGAGAAAGAUGAACCUUUCAGCUCUUGGCUCAGCCAUUCCACAGACUAUUAAUAUUGCAAAAGGAAAAGACUGAGGCUACGGCGGGGCGGCCUCUGAAAGUUCAUUUCUGCCCACACGUAUCUGCCUUGAGUGUUCUAAGGCACUUACUCAUUCAUUUGUUCGUUUGCUCGCUUGUCCGUCAAACGUCUGAGUGCUGACUGUGCGCCAGGAGUUGAAAUAGGCCCCAGGGCAGAAAUGUGAACUGUAGUCAGUUGAAUAGGAAUUGGAGGGCUAGACUCAAAGUCUCGUGUGGGAGACAGAGGUGAGCACAGAGAGUUCCGUAUUAAGGUUACCCAUCAGGGCACCAGGCACAGGAGCAGAGGACAGAGGAGGCCCCUUGCUUCGGGAAGCAGGGAAUCCAUCACCCAGCAAAGCAGAGGCAGAGGGCGGAGACGGUGCCAGCCAGAGGGCAGGUAAGGCACCAAUGCGAGUGCUGCCCUGUGGCAGCAUGGGGUUCCAGCUACUGGGGAGACUUGAGUCCGGGAGUUUGAGGCCAGGUUGGGCAACAUGGUGAGACCCUGUCUCUUAAAAAAAAAAAAAAAAAAAAAAAUUGAAAAGAAGUAGUCAAUGUAUGUGUUGGUGCAGGAGGAGGAGUCCGGAAUGGGCCUAAACCGAGCAUGAAGGAACCCGGCCCUCCAGGUAGGACUCGCCCUGGACUCUCAGGCUACACACGGAGCCACUGAAUGAUCUGAGGAGGGGAAUGGGACGUUGAAGAAGGGGAAGUUGGGGGACUUGGGGGCGGUGGAGUCAGGGCUUCUCCCCUCUCCAGGAGGCUGACCUCUUGUCAGUGGGAAAGAUGAAACCGCCUGAGGCCAUGCCAUAUAGGGAGGGUACGGGAUGGGUGCGCACUCUCUCUGGGAGUGCAAACCGGCACAGCUUUCGGGUUGGAAAUUUGGCAUUAUCUGUUAAAUUUAAAAAUAAUAUUCCUACCUUUCCCUAAGCAAUUUCUGGAAGGAAAUUCUUGUGAAAUUUGCACAACCCUGCAAAAUACACAAAAGGAAGUUUACUAUAGCAUUUUUUUUAGAUGGAGUCUCGCUGUGUCACCCAGGCUGGCGUGCAGUAGCCCAGUCUUGCCUUACAGCAAUCUCUGCCUCCCAGGUUCAAGCGAUUCUCCUGCCUCAGUCUCUCUAGUAGCUGGGACUACAGGCGUGCGCAACCAUGCCAAGCUAAGUUUUGUAUUUUCAGUGGAGACGGGUUUUCACCACAUUGGCCAGGCUGGUCUUGAACUCCUGACCUCAGGUGAUCUGCCCGCCUUGGCCUCCCAAAGUGCUGGGAUUAUAGGCAUGAGCCACUGCGCCUGGCCUACUAUAGCGUUUUGUAAUAGUACAAAAAAUUUUUAUGUUUUUAAAAGAAAACAAUCAAAUAUUCACCGUUACUGGAUUGGUUACCUAAGUCACACCCAUAAAGCCACUGAAAAGAGUGAGGGAUCCAGACUUUCGGACUCCAGUGUGCAAGCGAAUCAUCCAGGGAGGCUUUGAGAAUGUAGACUCUGCCUCAGGGUCUGGGGAGGGCCUGAGGGGCUGCACUUCUCAUAGCCUGCAGGUGCACGGCUGCUGCUACCCUGGGGCCCCUGCGCCAGGUAGCCAGGACCCAGAUGACCAAAAGCAAGCGGGAACAUGAGAAACAGUAUAUCCUAUUUUGGUUUAAAAAACCAUAAUGCAAGUUAAUAUACACAUCACAUAUACAGAAAGAUAUGCAUUUCUGGAAGAAAGAGCUUACGGUGGACUUUUCCCUCUAAGUUUUAUAUACAUAAUUGUAACAUUUCAAUUUUUAUAAUAAUCAUGAAUUAUCUUUGCAACCAGAAAAAAAAUUCAAUAUGUUAAGGUAAUCGACCAAUAUAUUGAUGCAUUAAAACAAAAAAAAAUAGGCCGGGCGCGGUGGCUCAAGCCUAUAAUCCCAGCACUUUGGGAGGCCGAGACGGGCGGAUCACAAGGUCAGGAGAUCGAGACCAUCCUGGCUAACAUGGUGAAACCCCGUCUCUACUAAAAAUAUAAAAAACUAGCCGGGAGAGGUGGCGGGCGCCUGUAGUCCCAGCUACUCGGGAGGCUGAGGCAGGAGAAUGGCGUGAACCCGGGAGGUGGAGCUUGCAGUGAGCCGAGAUCCGGCCACUGCACUCCAGCCUGGGCCACAGAGCGAGACUCCAUCUCAAAAAAAAAAAAAAAAAAGUUGUGAACCUGAGUUAAAAGUUACAUUUCAUUAUUAUUAUUAUUAUUUUGAGAAAGAAUCUCACUCUGUCGCCCAGGCUGGAGUGCAGUGGCGCGAUAGAUCUCCAUCUUCCAGGUUCAAGCAAUUCUCCCGCCUCAGGCUCCCCUGUAGCUGGGAUUACAGGCAUGCGCCACCAAGCCCAGCUACUUUGUGUAUUUUUAGUAGAGACAGGGUUUCACCAUGUUGGCCAGGCAGUCUCAAACUCCUGACCUCAGGUGAUUCACCCGUCUCGGCCUCCCAAAUUGCUGGGAUUACAGGCGUGAGCCACCACACCUUGCCACAAGUUAUACUUUAAAUUGUGUAUCAUAUUACUUUUAAUAGAUCAUUUGGGCUUUUUUUUGUUUGUUUGUUUUUUUUUUUUGAGACAGGGUCUCACUCUGUUGCCCAGGCUGGAGUGCAGUGGCACGAUCUCGGCUCACUGCAACUUUUGCCUUCUGGGCUCAAGCAAUCCUCCCACCUCAGUCUCUCCAGUAGCUGGGACCACAUGCAUGUGCCACCAUACCUGGUUAAUUUUUGUAUUUUGUUUUAGAUAUGGGGUUUUGCCAAUGUUGCCGAGGCUGGUCUUGAACUCCUGGGCUCAAGUCAUCCUCUUGCCUCAGCCUCCCAAAGUGCUGGGAUUACAGGCAUGAGCCACCAAGCCCGGCCUGGGCUAUUAUUAUUAUUAUUUUUUUUUUUUUUUGAGACAGAGUCUCACUUUGUUGACCAGGCUGGAGUGCAGUGGCCGGAUCUCAGCUCACUGCAAGCUCCGCCUCCCAGGUUUACGCCAUCCUCCUGCCUCAGCCUCCCGAGUAGCUGGGACUACAGGCGCCGCCACCACGCCCGGCUGGUUUUUUGUAUUGUUUUUAGUAGAGACGGGGUUUCACCGUGUUAGCCAGGAUGGUCUCGAUCUCCUGACCUCGUGAUCCGCCCGUCUCAGCCUCCCAAAGUGCUGGGAUUACAGGCGUGAGCCGCCGCGCCUGGCGCUGUUAUUUUUAAAGAGCUGUUCUAAUCAGAGCCCCAAGUAGCCACUUCUUUCCAGGCUGGGGGAAGUUCUCAGAUACAACAGCUUUCUGCCCGCCCACCUGGACUGCAAGGUCCUGCAAGCUGCAGGGUGGCCUGCUGAAAAGGCAAAGCCGUUACUGUCCCUCUCUCACCCUC
rnacentral:lncRNA from 1 species